AUUGAACGCUGGCGGCAGGCCUAACACAUGCAAGUCGAACGGUAACAGGAAGCAGCUUGCUGCUUCGCUGACGAGUGGCGGACGGGUGAGUAAUGUCUGGGAAGCUGCCUGAUGGAGGGGGAUAACUACUGGAAACGGUAGCUAAUACCGCAUAAUGUCGCAAGACCAAAGAGGGGGACCUUCGGGCCUCUUGCCAUCGGAUGUGCCCAGAUGGGAUUAGCUUGUUGGUGGGGUAACGGCUCACCAAGGCGACGAUCCCUAGCUGGUCUGAGAGGAUGACCAGCCACACUGGGACUGAGACACGGUCCAGACUCCUACGGGAGGCAGCAGUGGGGAAUAUUGCACAAUGGGCGCAAGCCUGAUGCAGCCAUGCCGCGUGUAUGAAGAAGGCCUUCGGGUUGUAAAGUACUUUCAGCGGGGAGGAAAGGAGUAAAGUUAAUACCUUUGCUCAUUGACGUUACCCGCAGAAGAAGCACCGGCUAACUCCGUG
rnacentral:rRNA from 1 species